rnacentral:tRNA from 1 species
GGAGAGGUGGCAGAGUGGUCGAAUGCACUGGUCUUGAAAACCAGCGAGCGUGCAAGCGUUCCGAGGGUUCGAAUCCCUCCCUCUCCGCCA